rnacentral:rRNA from 1 species
CGUGCUAAUCUGCGAUAAGCGCCGGUAAGGUGAUAUGAACCGUUAUAACCGGCGAUACCCGAAUGGGGAAACCCAGUGUGAUUCGUCACACUAUCAUUAACUGAAUCCAUAGGUUAAUGAGGCGAACCGGGGGAACUGAAACAUCUAAGUACCCCGAGGAAAAGAAAUCAACCGAGAUUCCCCCAGUAGCGGCGAGCGAACGGGGAGGAGCCCAGAGCCUGAAUCAGCAUGUGUGUUAGUGGAAGCGUCUGGAAAGGCGCGCGAUACAGGGUGACAGCCCCGUACACAAAAGCGCAUGUGCUGUGAGCUCGAUGAGUAGGGCGGGACACGUGGUAUCCUGUCUGAAUAUGGGGGGACCAUCCUCCAAGGCUAAAUACUCCUGACUGACCGAUAGUGAACCAGUACCGUGAGGGAAAGGCGAAAAGAACCCCGGCGAGGGGAGUGAAAAAGAACCUGAAACCGUGUACGUACAAGCAGUGGGAGCCCCACCACUAAGCCAGUGGUGAACUCCACAUACGCAUCCUUUGCUGAGGAUACGGUUAACGGAGCGAAAGCGACGUUCAACCUCAAAAGAAGCAGAGGGGGCUUAGUGGUGGGGUGACUGCGUACCUUUUGUAUAAUGGGUCAGCGACUUAUAUUCUGUAGCAAGGUUAACCGUAUAGGGGAGCCGGAGGGAAACCGAGUCUUAAUUGGGCGUUAAGUUGCAGGGUAUAGACCCGAAACCCGGUGAUCUAGCCAUGGGCAGGUUGAAGGUUGGGUAACACUAACUGGAGGACCGAACCGACUAAUGUUGAAAAAUUAGCGGAUGACCUGUGGCUGGGGGUGAAAGGCCAAUCAAACCGGGAGAUAGCUGGUUCUCCCCGAAAGCUAUUUAGGUAGCGCCUCGUGAAUUCAUCUUCGGGGGUAGAGCACUGUUUCGGCUAGGGGGUCAUCCCGACUUACCAACCCGAUGCAAACUGCGAAUACCGGAGAAUGUUAUCACGGGAGACACACGGCGGGUGCUAACGUCCGUCGUGAAGAGGGAAACAACCCAGACCGCCAGCUAAGGUCCCAAAGUCAUGGUUAAGUGGGAAACGAUGUGGGAAGGCCCAGACAGCCAGGAUGUUGGCUUAGAAGCAGCCAUCAUUUAAAGAAAGCGUAAUAGCUCACUGGUCGAGUCGGCCUGCGCGGAAGAUGUAACGGGGCUAAACCAUGCACCGAAGCUGCGGCAGCGAACGUAUCACUUAAAGCGAUUCAGCGGGUUACGAUUGACGGAGCGAAGCGACGUCAAAGCGUAUACAAAGUCGAGUCGGUUUAAGGAUACGUUCGUUGGGUAGGGGAGCGUUCUGUAAGCCUGCGAAGGUGGCCUGUGAGGG